GAUGAAGAACGUAGCGAAAUGCGAUAAGUAAUGUGAAUUGCAGAAUUCAGUGAAUCAUCGAAUCUUUGAACGCACAUUGCGCCCCUUGGUAUUCCGAGGGGCAUGCCUGUUCGAGCGUCAUUUCAACCCUCAAGCACAGCUUGGUGUUGGGACUCGCGUUAAUUCGCGUUCCUCAAAUUGAUUGGCGGUCACGUCGAGCUUCCAUAGCGUAGUAGUAAAACCCUCGUUACUGGUAAUCGUCGCGGCCACGCCGUUAAACCCCAACUUCUGAAUGUUGACCUCGGAUCAGGUAGGAAUACCCGCUGAACUUAAGCAUAUCAAUAAGCGGAGGA
rnacentral:misc_RNA from 1 species